UGGGGAAUUUUGGACAAUGGGGGCAACCCUGAUCCAGCCAUGCCGCGUGAGUGAAGAAGGCCUUCGGGUUGUAAAGCUCUUUCGGCCGGGAAGAAAUCGCGCCAGCUAAUACCUGGUGUGGAUGACGGUACCGGAAGAAGAAGCACCGGCUAACUACGUGCCAGCAGCCGCGGUAAUACGUAGGGUGCGAGCGCUAAUCGGAAUUACUGGGCGUAAAGCGUGCGCAGGCGGCUCUAUAAGACAGAUGUGAAACUCCCCGGGCUUAACCGUGGGAACUGCGUUUGUGACUGUAGGGCUUGAGUGCGGCAGAGGGGGUGGAAUUCCACGUGUAGCAGUGAAAUGCGUAGAGAUGUGGAGGAACACCGGAUGGCGAAGGCAGCCCCCUGGGUCGACACUGACGCU
rnacentral:rRNA from 1 species